UUCCUCUCCAAACAUAAGCAACAGCCAGCACCUCUGCCAAGUCUCGGCACUGGGCCUGCCGGUCCGGAGCUCGGUUCCCGGGGACAGCGCCUGGUUCCCUGGCUCCUCGAGCUCCACCAGCCAGCCUCACCCAGAUGGGGAGUCACAUCCACACAGGAGCCACUUCCAAGCGGUAGAACCAGGCUCCGAGGCCACCUCACUUUCUGCAGGAAAUCCAAGGGAACCGAGCGCCUGCUAAGUAGCACAAGGAUAAAAACUGGUUUCCACAAACCAAGAGUCGGAGGGUUUUUGAAGUUAAGGAGGCAAAACAUGAGUGCAAAACAAGCAAGCACAGGUCCCACCGCCUGGGAACCCUGACAGGGUGCCCGGUGGGUUUCAGGUAUGUGACCACUCCGGUGAGUCAGGGGACAGCCAAGCGGGUUCGAAAGUGUUCCGGGGCAAUCGCUUCUCCGGAGCCAAGACGCUGAAUCAGAGGGGAGAAGGAAUGAAAACAGCCCGGAUGAGUGUUCCCAUAAAGAAGAAAAUCUCAGUCACAUGCCGCACAGCAGACCUUUAACAAGACUCUUCUGCCCUGGCCAGUGUGGCUCAGUUGGUUAGAGCAUCACCUGAUAUGGCCAAGGUUUCGGGUUCAAUCCCCGGUCAGGGCACAUGUAAGAAUCAACCAAUGGAUGCAUAAAUAGGUGGAACAACAAAUCUGUCUCUCUCUCGCCUCCCUUCCUCUCUAUCUAAAUCAAUCAAUCCAUUUUUUUUUUAAUUUAAAAAGACUCUUCUGCUAACAAGAGCACUAUUUGUCUUUUCAUAUUUGCACUGAGGAAAAG